rnacentral:rRNA from 1 species
UACGUAGGGUGCGAGCGUUAAUCGGAAUUACUGGGCGUAAAGUGUGCGCAGGCGGCACCGCAAGUCGAGUGUGAAAGCCCCGGGCUCAACCUGGGAAUGGCGAUGGAUACUGGCUCGCUAGAGUGCGGUAGAGGAGAGUGGAAUUCCCGGUGUAGCAGUGAAAUGCGUAGAUAUCAGGAGGAACACCUGUGGUGUAGACAGCUUACUGGACCACUUCUGACGCUGAGACACGAAAGCGUGGGUAGCAAACAGG